rnacentral:snRNA from 1 species
AUCGCUUCUCGGCCUUUUGGCUAAGAUCAAGUGUAGUAUCUGUUCUUAUCAGUUUAAUAUCUGAUACGUCCUCUAUCCGAGGACAUUAAAAAAAAAAAAAAAAGAAAAGGCAGAGGAACCAGAGAUCAAAUUGCCAACAUCUG